rnacentral:misc_RNA from 1 species
CGGAAGGAUCAUUGUCGAAUCCUCAACAAAAACCCGCGAACACGUUCAAAAAUUCGCGUAGGGUGUCUGGGUAAAACCGGCGCCCCAGGCCCCCUGCCUGGCCGAAAGGGGCACCUCGACUGGCCGACCGGGCGACAGAAACAAAAAUCGGCGCGGGAAGCCCCAAGGACUCACGAAAUGGGAUGCCUUCCUGCGAAGAGGGCCGUUCGCGGAAUCCUCUCCGCGGGGCUCAGAAGGUACCUAAAACAAAAUCUCACACGACUCUCGGCAAUGGAUAUCUGGCUCUCGCAUCGAUGAAGAACAUAGCAAACUGCGAUACUUUGUGUGAAUUGCAGAAUCCCGUGAACCAUCGAGUCUUUGAACGCAAGUUGCGUCCGAAGCCAUUAGGCAGAGGGCACGUCUGCCUGGGCGUCACGCAUCGCGUCGCCCCCCCUACCCCCGUCCCCGAAAGGUGGAGAAGAGCGGAGGGGAGGAAGUUGGCUUGCCGUGCUCCAUCGCGGCCUGCCUAAAACAAGGUUCCCCCGACGCGGAAGUCUCGGCGAGUGGUGGUCGUCGAGAUUGAACGUUCGGACCCUGCUGGUGAGAGUCCUUCCUCCAGGAGGGAGAAUCUCGCCACAACCGUGACCCCAGGUCAAGC